UACGUAGGUGGCAAGCGUUGUCCGGAUUUACUGGGCGUAAAGAGCGCGCAGGCGGUCGUUCAAGUCGCGUGUGAAAGCCCCCGGCUCAACUGGGGAGGGUCACGCGAUACUGAUCGACUCGAAGGCAGGAGAGGGAAGUGGAAUUCCCGGUGUAGUGGUGAAAUGCGCAGAUAUCAGGAGGAACACCGAUGGCGAAGGCAGGUCUCUGGGCAUUAACUGACGCUGAGGAGCGAAAGCAUGGGGGAGCGAACAGG
rnacentral:rRNA from 1 species